CCUGUACUGUAGGGUAGUACAGUAUCAAGAGCUGGGCUAGACCGGUGCCAGCCGCCGCGGUAAUACAGGCAGCUCGAGUGAUGGCCAAUCUUAUUGGGCCUAAAGCGUCCGUAGCUGGGCGCGCAAGUCCGUCGGGAAAUCCAUCAGCCCAACUGAUGGGCGUCCGGGGGAAACGGCACGGCUUGGGACCGGAAGGCUCGAGAGGUACGUCCGGGGUAGGAGUGAAAUCCSGUAAUCCCGAAGGGACCACCGAUGGCGAAAGCAUCUCGAGAAAAC
rnacentral:rRNA from 1 species